AAGUCCACAAUGAUUGUGUGAAUCUUUGACAGGUUCAAUUCAAAUGAUUCCACAAAUAUGUCCCAAAAACCGUUAUAUAGGUCGACGCAUAAUAUAGGUCGCAACCAGGCUUCAGGGGGAAGUAUCAACCUAAUAGAUAUUCCCGAAAUUACAGUAGUCGGUGUUUUGAUGACAGGUGUUGGAAUUUAUAUAAACAUAUCAACUGUCUACAAAAUUAUCAAAUGUUGCUUAUAUUUUUGUAUCAUAAAUUAACUUGUACCAUGAAUAAGAUGAAUUUGAAUAAAUAUAUCAUUCAUAU
rnacentral:misc_RNA from 1 species